CCUUUUUAUUUAUCAGUUUGUUUUCCCACACGCGAACCGCAGUCCCAAAGGAUUUCCGUUCCUCUUUCUCCGCUUCUCCACCUCCGGCGAAAAAUGGCUUCUCACUCUCCUUCGCUUAAAGACCUAAUAGGUUCUCUGGACCGCGAAUCUUACGUUUCCCUCCUCUCAAAGAUCGUCGGAGAGGCCCGUCACGUUCAGAACAACCCCCCCGAUCUCAUCCCCGAAGAAGAUCGCGUCGCCCGCCAUGUUCUUGACGCACUUCUACCUCUCAGCACCUCCACUGCCGGCGGUCCCCUUGUCGUCUCUCACAUCAGCUACACGGAGGGCCGCGGUAACAUCAUCGUCGAGUACCCUGGUUCCUGCCCUGACAAGAUCCUCUCCUUCGUCGGCUGUCACAUGGACGUCGUCACUGCCGAUCCGGCCGCCUGGGAUUUUGAUCCCUUUUCUUUGAGCGUGGAUGGUGACAAGCUGAAGGGCCGUGGGACGACGGACUGCUUGGGGCACGUCGCCCUCGUAACGGAGCUCAUGCGGAAGCUCGGCGAAGCGAGGCCGCUGCUCAAGAAUACGGUGGUCGCUGUUUUUAUCGCCAAUGAGGAAAAUUCAUCCGUGCUUGGGAUAGGUGUGGAUGCUUUGGUGAAGGAUGGGCUUCUUGAUAAGCUCAAACAUGGCCCUUUGUUUUGGAUUGAUACUGCUGACAAGCAGCCAUGCAUUGGUACCGGUGGGAUGAUUAGUUGGAAGCUUCGAGCUGCAGGAAAGCUUUUCCACAGCGGAUUGCCCCACAAGGCAAUCAAUCCUUUGGAGUUGGCCAUGGAAGCUCUCAAGGUGAUACAAUCACGCUUUUAUCAAGAUUUUCCUUCGCAUCCUCAGGAGAAGGUAUAUGGAUUUGCUACACCAUCAACUAUGAAACCAACACAAUGGAACUAUCCAGGGGGUGGUGUUAAUCAGAUUCCGGCGGAAUGCUCAAUAUCGGGUGAUGUAAGGUUGACUCCUUUCUACAGCCCGACAGAAGUAACCAGGAAAUUGCAGGAGUAUGUAGAUGACAUUAAUGCAAAUAUAGAAAAGCUUGAUAUACGUGGACCAGCAUCAAAAUAUGUUCUUCCAGAUGAAAAUUUGAGGGGAAGGCUUACUAUUAGUUUUGAUGAGGCUGCAAUGACUGGACUUGCUUGUGAUCUCAACUCCCGUGGAUUUCAUGUACUAUGCAAAGCGACUGAAGAAGUGGUUGGAUAUGUAAAACCAUAUUCAAUUACUGGAAGUUUGCCUUUGAUUAGUGAAUUGCAGCAAGAAGGCUUUGAUGUUCAAACUUCAGGAUAUGGCAUAAUGGAUACAUACCAUGCGAAGAAUGAGUACUGCCUCUUUUCAGAUAUGUGCCAAGGUUUCCAAGUGUUCCUCAGCAUUAUUUCCCAGCUAGAAGAAGAUUGAAGCAGCUCCAGGUGGAAAUAUAUUACAAAUACAUGUUUUAGACUCCUCAUUGCAGUACUAUAGCCCGCCACAUCUGCCGACCAUCGGUCCUCUUCCCCUACAAACCCGGUUGUUGCCACCGCUAUUACACCAUCCACAGUAGCCGCCGCAACCAUUAUUGACAGGCGUAUUUUACAUUAAUCUUCUUUUUCUUCAAAUCAAAUAAGAAAAAUAUAUUAGUCAUAUUUGCUUAUUUUAUGGAGAUUUUGUAGUCUUUGUUAUAGUACUAAGAUCCUAAAUUCCUGUCUAUAAUUAAGGGAUCCCACAAAUCACUCUUCUUGAAUAUUGUUUGAA